UGGGGAAUAUUGCACAAUGGUCGCAAGCCUGAUGCAGCCAUGCCGCGUGUAUGAAGAAGGCCUUCGGGUUGUAAAGUACUUUCAGCGGGGAGGAAGGGAGUAAAGUUAAUACCUUUGCUCAUUGACGUUACCCGCAGAAGAAGCACCGGCUAACUCCGUGCCAGCAGCCGCGGUAAUACGGAGGGUGCAAGCGUUAAUUGGAAUUACUGGGCGUAAAGCGCACGCAGGCGGUUUGUUAAGUCAGAUGUGAAAUCCCCGGGCUCAACCUGGGAACUGCAACUGAUACUGGCAAGCUUGAGUCUCGUAGAGGGGGGUAGAAUUCCAGGUGUAGCGGUGAAAUGCGUAGAGAUCUGGAGGAAUACCGGUGGCGAAGGCGGCCCCCUGGACGAAGACUGACGCUCAGGUGCGAAAGCGUGGGGAGCAAACAGG
rnacentral:rRNA from 1 species